GACUCUCGACAACGGAUAUCUCGGCUCUCGCAUCGAUGAAGAACGUAGCGAAAUGCGAUGCUUAGUGUGAAUUGCAGAAUCCCAUGAACCAUCGAGUCUUUGAAUGCAAGUUGCGCCCGAAGCCAUUAGGCCGAGGGCAAGCCUGCCUGGGCAUCA
rnacentral:rRNA from 1 species